rnacentral:rRNA from 1 species
GGGGCAUGCGGGUGCUUACACAUGCAGUCGAACGAUGAAGUUCCUUCGGGAAUGGAUUAGUGGCGAACGGGUGAGCGAAUACUUGAGAAACCUGCCUUUCAUUUUGGGAUAACUCCGGGAAACCGGGGCUAAAACCGAAUACUCCGUCUUGGCGGCAUCGCUAAGCCGGGAAAAAAUUUUGAUGAAAGAUGGUCUCGCGGCCUAUCAGCUAGUUGGUGAGGUAAUGGCUCACCAAGGCGACGACGGGUAGCCGGCCUGAGAGGGCGACCGGCCACACUGGGACUGAGACACGGCCCAGACUCCUACGGGAGGCAGCAGUGGGGAAUAUUGGGCAAUGGGCGCAAGCCUGACCCAGCGACGCCGCGUGAGGGAUGAAGGCCUUCGGGUUGUAAACCUCUUUCAGUAGGGAAGAAGCGAAAGUGACGGUACCUAAAGAAGAAGCACCGGCUAACUAUGUGCCAGCAGCCGCGGUAAUACAUAGGGUGCAAGCGUUGUCCGGAAUUAUUGGGCGUAAAGAGCUCGUAGGCGGUUCAGUAAGUCGGGUGUGAAAACUCUGGGCUCAACCCAGAGACGCCACCCGAUACUGCUGUGACUAGAGUGCGGUAGGGGAGCGGGGAAUUCCUAGUGUAGCGGUGAAAUGCGCAGAUAUUAGGAGGAACACCAGUGGCGAAGGCGCCGCUCUGGGCCGUAACUGACGCUGAGGAGCGAAAGCGUGGGUAGCAAACAGGAUUAGAUACCCUGGUAGUCCACGCCGUAAACGUUGGGCACUAGGUGUGGGUCUCAACCA